rnacentral:tRNA from 1 species
UUAGUUAAAACCAAAUUAGAGGUUUACCACUGUUAAUGGUAAUAUUGAACUUAAGCUCUAACUA